AAAAAAAUUCAUAAAUUUGACUGUCAUACAAGUUCUCAUAAAAUUUGACAUCCAUUACAUUGUAUCAUGACAUCACAAUUAAAGUGCUUUUAGCAUGACCUCUAGUUUAUUCAUUUACAGAUCUUGAGAUCAUUUUGAGACAAAAUUCAGUUGAAUAGCAAAAGUGUAAAUACAUGUAUGAGGGGGAGGACAGGGGUAAGGGAGACAGGGAGGAAGGGUGUAGGAGAAAGGAGAAAGGGUGUAGGAGAAAGGAGAAAGGGUGUAGGAGAAAGGAGAAAGGGGGUAGGAGAAAGGAGAGGAAGGCUGGGAGAAAGAGAAAAAGUUGGAGAAAAAAAAAAAUAAAAUAUGAAAAAAUAAAAUAUCUCUCUUUUUUGUGGUAAAUUAAAGAAAAUAAAAUAAUCAUUAAAAAAAAAUCAUUUAACAACAGAUAUUAGCUCAGCAC
rnacentral:lncRNA from 1 species